GUAAGCAUUAAUUGAACCUUUAAACAGUUAAACUUACAAUAAUUAUUUUGAAGAUCAUCUUGCCUUAAAAACUUCAAGAUCUUUGAGGGGAUAAUUCGCCAUCUUAGUAUUUAGAAGAAUUGGGUUUGUGUCUAUAUGAGGGAGAUCAGAUUAUAAUAGAAGGUAAAUGGGUACAGCUUUCCUGGAAUUUUAAACUAUUUUCUCUUUUGAUUAAAAAAAAUAGAGGGUGAGAUAUGCACUCAUUACAAAAAUAUUACGUUUCAGGAUUUGGUAAAAUGAAGAGAAAGUUUUGAAUGGGCUAAACAGGAAUUCAAGGACUUCUUAUAAUACAUUCCAGAGCUCAGCAACUCUUUUUUUAUAUUGCCUGCUGUUUGGGAUUAUAUUCAUCAUUGCUGCCUUCAGUUACAGCAGGGCAAAAUGCUGAAUGGCAGAAGGCUGAAGAAAUGCUAAAAGCUCCGUCCUAUUGAGAAGUUCAUCACAGGGAAGACUCCACUGAAGUAAUCAGAUGCCUUUCCUGCUGCCCUGAGUCUUUAACUGUCCAAAGGGAGUCCUGAACCCAAAGCUGUUUCAGCUGCAUGCAAUUUCAGAACCCACAGUUCAGGGUUGUUAGUACCACAUCAAGCUCCCUUGCAAAUUAGCUUCAUAAAUUCUAAGCCCACAGGCUCAGGGCUCAUCUGAAAGAGAUGGACCAGAGAAGUGGAGAUGGAGAAAAAAGUCUCCUACCACACACUGGAACCACUUUUACAGAAGUGCCUGUUGUCUCCCAACCCCAACAAUGCCAGGCAGCAAGCUGUUGCAGAAAGGAAGCAGACUGCUGCCCCUGCAGUGUUCAGGCCUCCUCCUGGCAGGGCUCCCUCUACCUGAAUCCAUCUCAGGGAAAUGGUCAUCGCUGACUAUGCUGCACAGAACCUGCAAAGUUAUGUUAAUAAUCUCUCUGGGCCUUAAACUGAAUAACCAAGAUUUUGCACAUGUACCAUUCACUUCCCACUUAAUAUGCACACUCAAUUUACACAGGAAGUAUGCCUAAGGCUCUUUCAAUGACUGUAUGUGACUACACGUAGGGUUUUUCUUUUAUAACAGAUUGGCAAAUGCCUGAGGUGGUAUGAGUGUGGUGUUGCUGGAAAACCUUAGUUGAAAUUCCUAGACUAUAUGAAAUCCUUUUUAAAUCUCCUUAUUCUGAAAACAUAUUUUUUUAAAAAAAUUAGACCACUUAUGGGAUUUAAAGUAAAAAGUACAAAUAUACUGUAUUUCGUGACUGUAAUCAAACUGGAGACAUUAUGCAAACAUAGAGCUCUUAUAUUUUCAUUCUUCUACUUUAGGUUGCAAUUGUCUAUCUCUGCAUUAUGUGCAAACCAAAAUGAGAACUGUGGGAAUAAACCACAUGGUUGUG
rnacentral:lncRNA from 1 species